GCGUUGUCCGGAAUUAUUGGGCGUAAAGAGCUCGUAGGCGGCCUGUCGCGUCUGCUGUGAAAUCCCGGGGCUUAACCCCGGGCGUGCAGUGGAUACGGGCUGGCUGGAGGCAGGCAGGGGAGAACGGAAUUCCCGGUGUAGCGGUGAAAUGCGCAGAUAUCGGGAGGAACACCGGUGGCGAAGGCGGUUCUCUGGGCCUGGUCUGACGCUGAGGAGCGAAAGCGUGGGGAGCGAACGGG
rnacentral:rRNA from 1 species